rnacentral:rRNA from 1 species
UACGUAGGGUGCGAGCGUUGUCCGGAAUUACUGGGCGUAAAGAGCUCGUAGGUGGUUUGUCGCGUUGUUCGUGAAAACUCACGGCUUAACUGCGGGCGUGCGGGCGAUACGGGCAGACUGGAGUACUGCAGGGGAGACUGGAAUUCCUGGUGUAGCGGUGAAAUGCGCAGAUAUCAGGAGGAACACCGGUGGCGAAGGCGGGUCUCUGGGCCGAUACUGACGCUGAGGAGCGAAAGCGUGGGGAGCGAACAGG